rnacentral:rRNA from 1 species
GCCGCGGUAAUACAGAGGGUGCAAGCGUUAAUCGGAAUUACUGGGCGUAAAGCGCGCGUAGGUGGUUCGUUAAGUUGGAUGUGAAAUCCCCGGGCUCAACCUGGGAACUGCAUUCAAAACUGACGAGCUAGAGUAUGGUAGAGGGGGGUGGAAUUUCCUGUGUAGCGGUGAAAUGCGUAGAUAUAGGAAGGAACACCAGUGGCGAAGGCGACCACCUGGACUGAUACUGACACUGAGGUGCGAAAGCGUGGGGAGCAAACAGGAUUAGAAACC